UAACGCGUAGGUAACCUGCCUUGUAGCGGGGGGAUAACUAUUGGAAACGAUAGCUAAUACCGCAUAACAAUGGAUGACACAUGUCAUUUAUUUGAAAGGGGCAAUUGCUCCACUACAAGAUGGACCUGCGUUGUAUUAGCUAGUAGGUGAGGUAAUGGCUCACCUAGGCGACGAUACAUAGCCGACCUGAGAGGGUGAUUGGCCACACUGGGACUGAGACACGGCCCAGACUCCUACGGGAGGCAGCAUG
rnacentral:rRNA from 1 species